rnacentral:rRNA from 1 species
UACGGGGGGGGUAAGCGUUGUUCAGAAUUACUGGGCGUAAAGGGCUCGUAGGCGGCCAACUAAGUCGGACGUGAAAUCCCUCAGCUUAACUGGGGAACUGCGUCCGAUACUGGAUGGCUUGGAUUUGGGAGAGGGAUGCGGAAUUCCAGGUGUAGCGGUGAAAUGCGUAGAUAUCUGGAGGAACACCGGUGGCGAAGGCGGCAUCCUGGACCAAUAUUGACGCUGAGGAGCGAAAGCCAGGGGAGCAAACGGGG